rnacentral:lncRNA from 10 species
AGUCAAGAAAAAGGCAGCUCAGACAACGGGAAGGACAGAAGGGUUUGCAGAGAGUGAAAGGAGCCAACGCAGGAUAGGGCAAGCCAGAGCAAACAGCUCUGGGCUGGGGUGGAGGUGGACUCUGGCAAAUGGAGAAGAACUUGGGAUGGAACUAACUCUCUGCCCCACCAAGGGCAUGGGGAAUAGCAAAGCCAAAGGGGGGCCAUCAAUUUUAAGCAAGAUAUCUCUUGAGGAAGUACUCGCUGCCAAGGGAGUCCAUGUUUCAUCAGCCAGUGGGCAGAUUUGACUGGAUUGCCAAAAGGGCUGGCUGGCCUCCGGGCUGCCAAUCAUUCCCCAAACCCUGAUCGGGCAGUAAAAAACCCAUGUGGAAGAGGGUUAGGGAGAAACAGGAGGAACCACGAGCACACAGCCAUCUCUGAGCCACAGCAUUUAGGAAAAUGCUCUCAACUUGGCAUGAUUGCAAGGGUUAAGUGAUUUGCCCUAGGUCAUGAAGCUUCUAACUUGGACAAGUCCCAUCAUCUCCCUGGACCUCAGUUCCCCCAUCUGUAAGAGGAGGGAGUUGAACGGGAUGCUUUCUGCAGUUCUUGUCAGUGCAGACAUUCUGCAGGUCUAAUCAAGGGCUUCUGAUCUGCCAAUUUCAUCUCCCUGGAUUACUGUGGUUAUCUGAAGACAGGCCCAAGGGAACAACAGAGCCAGAGGGCUGAUCUGAGAAAGGCAGAGCCUGCUCCUCUUUGAGAGCCCCCUGGAGCCCUUGCAGAGGCAUCCCCAGGCUUAGGAGGCAUCACUAUACAGGAGAGUCCAUUCCAGUUCCAGCGGGGUCCUCACCCUACCCCUACUCCCUGGGAGUCACACCUGUGAGCUCUUGGUGCAGGUCAGAUUCCUGAUCCUGGCUCCCUGCAUUUCAUUGUCAACCUAUGGCUGCACACACCACUGCAGAUGCUGAAGACACCGUCUUGGCCACAGGGAAGACUGUACUACUGAGACUACAAGACUGAGCCUGCCUUUUGAUUGGUCAAUGUUGCUUUUCCCUUGGUGGGAGAUGAACAAGAAAACAGACUGGGGACUCAAAACACACCAGGUGUUUAAUAGGUGGCUAAGUGAAUAGGCUUUCCAAAUUACAUGCCAACACAGCAGCUUGCCACAGCUUUCAGCCCACUGCUUGCACUAUGGUUUCUGGACUCAACAGAAAGGUCAAGGGAGUGCCAGCUGACUGUCACAUGGUCUGCAAGCCCCUGAUGGGAGGACCAAGUCAUCGACUCUAGCCUGCAUCUUAGCAUCUCCUGGGUUGAACUGACAAGCUGUUUCCAGCAUUCAGCCCCAGCAACUGCGGACUAUUUACACACUUCAAGCAAGCCCCACAAGAGCCCCCAGCAAAUAAUACAUUCAUCCAAGCAGCCAUCUCUGGUGGAAAAAAAUCGUUAUUAAUUGGGGUUACAGCACUCAUUUUAACCGCAGCAGGAGCUGAGCCAACUUGAUUUAGUGGUGUGCAGUCUUUUUCUGAACUCCAGUGGAUACUUCACAAAUAACAAUAAAAAUUUUAAUGGUAGGACAGACAUGGAGUGGGCUACACAGCUUCACUCAUUAAACAAACUCCAUCCACCAUGCUCAAGGAUUCAAGCUGUUUUAUGUGGCCAGCCACUUUGCCUAAGCCUGCUGCAGAUGAGAGACUAAAUUUUCAUGGUGUCAAGUUGCAGUAAGAAACAGGUUUCAUUAGCCCUCUUAACAGAUGCAGAAACCGAAGGCCAGAGUGAGA